rnacentral:rRNA from 1 species
GACGAACGCUGGCGGCGUGCUUAACACAUGCCAGUCGAACGGAAAGGCCCUGCUUUUGUGGGGUGCUCGAGUGGCGAACGGGUGAGUAACACGUGAGUAACCUGCCCUUGACUUUGGGAUAACUUCAGGAAACUGGGGCUAAUACCGGAUAGGAGCUCCUGCUGCAUGGUGGGGGUUGGAAAGUUUCGGCGGUUGGGGAUGGACUCGCGGCUUAUCAGCUUGUUGGUGGGGUAGUGGCUUACCAAGGCUUUGACGGGUAGCCGGCCUGAGAGGGUGACCGGCCACAUUGGGACUGAGAUACGGCCCAGAAUGCUACGGGAGGCAGCAGUGGGGAAUAUUGCAAAAUGGGCGGAAGCCUGAUGCAGCAACGCCGCGUGCGGGAUGACGGCCUUCGGGUUGUAAAACGCUUUCGCCUGUGACGAAGCGUGAGUGACGGUAAUGGGUAAAGAAGCACCGGCUAACUACGUG